AUUGAACGCUGGCGGCAGGCCUAACACAUGCAAGUCGAGCGAGCGGCGGACGGGUGAGUAAUGUCUGGGAAACUGCCUGAUGGAGGGGGAUACCUACGGGAAACGGUAGCUAAUACCGCAUCCCAUCAGAUGUGCCACGAUGGGAUUAGCUAGUAGGUGGGGUAACGGCUCACCUAGGCGACGAGCCCUAGCUGGUCUGAGAGGAUGACCCGCCACACUGGAACUGAGACACGUUCCAUACUCCUACGGGAGGAAGCAGUGGGGAAUAUUGCACAAGGGGCGCAAGCCUGAUGCAGCCAUGCCGCGUGUUUGAAGAAGGCCUUCGGGUUUUAAAGCACUUUCAGCGGGGAGGCGUUACCCGCAGAAGAAGCACCGGCUAAAUCCGUGCCAGCAGCCGCGGUAAUAG
rnacentral:rRNA from 1 species